AGAGUUUGAUUCUGGCUCAGGAUGAACGCUAGCUACAGGCUUAACACAUGCAAGUCGAGGGGCAGCGGGAUUGAAGCUUGCUUCAAUUGCCGGCGACCGGCGCACGGGUGAGUAACGCGUAUCCAACCUUCCGUACACUCAGGGAUAGCCUUUCGAAAGAAAGAUUAAUACCUGAUGGUAUGAUGAGAUUGCAUGAUAGCAUCAUUAAAGAUUUAUCGGUGUACGAUGGGGAUGCGUUCCAUUAGGUAGUAGGCGGGGUAACGGCCCACCUAGCCAACGAUGGAUAGGGGUUCUGAGAGGAAGGUCCCCCACAUUGGAACUGAGACACGGUCCAA
rnacentral:rRNA from 1 species